AGCGGCAGGCCUAACACAUGCAAGUCGAGGGGUAACAGGGAGCUUGCUCCGCUGACGACCGGCGCACGGGUGCGCAACGCGUAUGCAAUCUACCUCUUACUAAGGGAUAGCCCAGAGAAAUUUGGAUUAAUAUCUUAUGUGAUAUGUGACUGGCAUCGGUUAUAUAUUAAAGGUUACGGUAAGAGAUGAGCAUGCGUCUCAUUAGUUAGUUGGUAAGGUAACGGCUUACCAAGACUUCGAUGAGUAGGGGUCCUGAGAGGGAGAUCCCCCACACUGGUACUGAGACACGGACCAGACUCCUACGGGAGGCAGCAGUGAGGAAUAUUGGACAAUGGACGGAAGUCUGAUCCAGCCAUGCCGCGUGUAGGAAGACUGCCCUAUGGGUUGUAAACUACUUUUAUACAGGAAGAAUAAGAUCUACGUGUAGAUUGAUGACGGUACUGUAAGAAUAAGGACCGGCUAACUCCGUGCCAGCAGCCGCGGUAAUACGGAGGGUCCGAGCGUUAUCCGGAAUUAUUGGGUUUAAAGGGUCCGUAGGCGGGCUGUUAAGUCAGAGGUGAAAUGCUGCGGCUCAACCGUAUGCACUGCCUUUGAUACUGGCGGUCUUGAGUUAUAGUGAAGUGGCUAGAAUAAGUAGUGUAGCGGUGAAAUGCAUAGAUAUUACUUAGAAUACCGAUUGCGAAGGCAGGUCACUAACUAUACACUGACGCUGAUGGACGAAAGCGUGGGUAGCGAACAGGAUUAGAUACCCUGGUAGUCCACGCCGUAAACGAUGGAUACUAGCUGUUCGGUUUUCGGACUGAGCGGCCAAGCGAAAGUGAUAAGUAUCCCACCUGGGGA
rnacentral:rRNA from 1 species